rnacentral:rRNA from 1 species
AUUGAACGCUGGCGGCAUGCCUUACACAUGCAAGUCGAACGGCAGCACGGGAGCAAUCCUGGUGGCGAGUGGCGAACGGGUGAGUAAUACAUCGGAACGUGCCCAGUAGUGGGGGAUAACCCGGCGAAAGCCGGACUAAUACCGCAUACGACCUACGGGUGAAAGCAGGGGAUCGCAAGACCUUGCGCUAUCGGAGCGGCCGAUGUCAGAUUAGCUUGUUGGCGGGGUAAAAGCCCACCAAGGCGACGAUCUGUAGCUGGUCUGAGAGGACGACCAGCCACACUGGGACUGAGACACGGCCCAGACUCCUACGGGAGGCAGCAGUGGGGAAUUUUGGACAAUGGGCGCAAGCCUGAUCCAGCCAUGCCGCGUGCGGGAAGAAGGCCUUCGGGUUGUAAACCGCUUUUGUCAGGGAAGAAACGCUCCGGGUUAAUACCUCGGAGUAAUGACGGUACCUGAAGAAUAAGCACCGGCUAACUACGUGC